UACGGAGGGGGCUAGCGUUGUUCGGAAUUACUGGGCGUAAAGCGUACGUAGGCGGCUUUGUAAGUCAGAGGUGAAAGCCUGGAGCUCAACUCCAGAACUGCCUUUGAGACUGCAUCGCUUGAAUCCAGGAGAUGUCAGUGGAAUUCCGAGUGUAGAGGUGAAAUUCGUAGAUAUUCGGAAGAACACCAGUGGCGAAGGCGGCUGACUGGACUGGUAUUGACGCUGAGGUGCGAAAGCGUGGGGAGCAAACAGG
rnacentral:rRNA from 1 species